AAAGUCAAUAAGUGCAUACACGUGAUCUGGCGCCAAGAAACUCUUUUUCUUUCUCUCUCUCUCUAUCUAUCUCUGUCUCUCUUGCGAUAAAGGGACGAUCGUUACGGGCCACCCCCGGCGUAACCGUUGCGAAAAUCAUUACUGCCGGAAUAUUUAAUAACACCGAUAAUAUCGACUCGGAGUCACCGCGGCCUACAUUCAAAUGCCAGCUGGUACAAUAUGAUUGCAUCUCUCUCGCGGCACUCCUGGUAACCGAUCUUGUUGUCGGAGGCUUGUUUAUGCCAUUGACGAUCGCUACGACGAAACCCUCCCGCGGCAGGAAGAUGGAUACUAAAUUGUCAAAUGAAGAAACGAUAACGCGUGAAAGAUGUAAUGUUGAAGCAAAUCGAAUAGAUUUAUCGAUAAAUUGAAAUAUCUAAUUAUGAUGAAUUUAUACAUGGUCAUCUUCUCUGAACUGAUGCUAAAGUCCGCACUACGAAGAAUAGCGAUUGUUUGAUUAUCGAGGCACAAGCUUUAACUUGUAAGCAAUUGAAGAUUGGAGAGCUGCAACAGAUUGAAAUUCGUGCUAACAGAGAACGGAACUACUUACUGUCUAAAUGAGAGAAGCAGUCGGCUGAAUUUGAACCGUAGUUAACCGAUAUCGACGAAACCCCCGUCCGUUAGUUGCGAGGAUAUUCAGUGCUAUAAAUUCUCAAGAGUUUCCGGGGAGAGAGAUGCCUGAUGAAAUUUUCAAGAAUGGAGGAUUAUCCAGGAAACGCGUGAAAAGCCGCGCGGGAGAAAGCAGCUGCGCGGCUGAAAAGAUUCGUAUCGGACAACUUCGCAACGCUCAGGGCAGAGAGAUACAAAUCUAAUAAACGCACCACUGCUGAUGCCGCCGGCGGCGGAGGCGGCGGUGGUAGUGGUGGUGGUGGUGGUGGUGGUGGUGGUGGAGGCAACGCGAGUUGAAGGUUGG